AGUGAACGCUGGCGGUAGGCCUAACACAUGCAAGUCGAACGGCAGCACAGUAAAAGCUGGCUCCUACGGGUGGCGAGUGGCGGGGGGGUGAGGAAUACAGCGGACUCUACGUUUUCGGGGGGGAACACGUAGGGACACUUACUCUAAUACCGCAUACGAGCUACGGGUGAAAGCAGGAGAUCUUCGGACCUUGCGCGAUUGAAUGAGCCGAUGUCGGAUUAGCUAGUUGGCGGGGUAAAGGCCCACCAAGGCGACGAUCCGUAGCUGGUCUGAGAGGAUGAUCAGCCACACUGGAACUGAGACACGGUCCAGACUCCUACGGGAGGCAGCAGUGGGGAAUAUUGGACAAUGGGCGCAAGCCUGAUCCAGCCAUACCGCGUGGGUGAAGAAGGCCUUCGGGUUGUAAAGCCCUUUUGUUGGGAAAGAAGGGCAGCAGGUUAAUACCCCGCUGUUCUGACGUUACCCAAAGAAUAAGCACCGGCUAACUUCGUG
rnacentral:rRNA from 1 species